rnacentral:rRNA from 1 species
GGCUACGAGGACGAACGCUGGCGGCGUGCCUAACACAUGCAAGUCGAGCGGAGACAUGCGACAGAGCGGAAGUUUCGGAUGGAAGCAAAGAUGUAUGUUUAGCGGCGGACGGGUGAGUAACGCGUGAGCAACCUGUCCCUCACAGGGGGAUAACACAGCGAAAGUUGUACUAAUACCGCAUGAGACCACAGCAGGGCAUCCUGCGGGGGUCAAAGGAGAAAUCCGGUGAGGGGUGGGCUCGCGUCCGAUUAGAUAGUUGGUGGGUAACGGCCUACCAAGUCGACGAUCGGUAGCCGACCUGAGAGGGUGAUCGGCCACAUUGGGACUGAGACACGGCCCAAACUCCUACGGGAGGCAGCAGUGGGGAAUAUUGGGCAAUGGGGGGAAACCCCCUGACCCAGCAACGCCGCGUGAGGGAAGAAGGUUUUCGGAUCGUAAACCUCUGUCCUUGGUGAAGAGGAAGAGACGGUAGCCAAGGAGGAAGCCCCGGCUAACUACGUGCCAGCAGCAGC